UACGGAGGAGGCAAGCGUUAUCCGGAAUUAUUGGGCGUAAAGCGUCCGCAGGUGGCUAUUCAAGUCUGCGGUCAAAGACUGGGGCUUAACCCUGGAAAGGCCGUGGAAACUGAAGAGCUAGAGUGCAGUAGGGGUAGAGGGAAUUCCCGGUGGUAGCGGUGAAAUGCGUAGAGCUCGGGAAGAACAUCGGUGGCGAAAGCGCUCUGCUGGACUGCAACUGACACUCAGGGACGAAAGCUAGGGGAGCGAAUGGG
rnacentral:rRNA from 1 species